AGGUCACUGCUAUCGGUGUUCGUCUAAGCCAUGCGAGUCAUAUGUUCUUUGUGAACAUGGCGCACUGCUCAGUAACACGUGGAUAACCUGCCCUUGGGUCCGGCAUAACCCCGGGAAACUGGGGAUAAUACCGGAUAACGCAUAUAUGCUGGAAUUCUUUAUGCGUGAAACGGAUUCGUCUGCCCAAGGAUGGGUCUGCGGCCUAUCAGGUAGUAGUGGGUGUAAUGUACCUACUAGCCUACGACGGGUACGGGUUGUGAGAGCAAGAGCCCGGAGAUGGAUUCUGAGACAUGAAUCCAGGCCCUACGGGGCGCAGCAGGCGCGAAAACUUUACAAUGCGGGAAACCGUGAUAAGGGGACACCGAGUGCCAGCAUCCUAUGCUGGCUGUCCAGGUGUGUAAACUACACCUGUUAGCAAGGGCCGGGCAAGACCGGUGCCAGCCGCCGCGGUAACACCGGCGGCCCGAGUGGUGAUCGUGAUUAUUGGGUCUAAAGGGUCCGUAGCCGUUUUGGUCAGUCCUCCGGGAAAUCUGACAGCUUAACUGUUAGGCUUUCGGAGGAUACUGCCAGACUUGGAACCGGGAGAGGUAAGAGGUACUACAGGGGUAGGAGUGAAAUCUUGUAAUCCCUGUGGGACCACCUGUGGCGAAGGCGUCUUACCAGAACGGGUUCGACGGUGAGGGACGAAAGCUGGGGGCACGAACCGGAUUAGAUACCCGGGUAGUCCCAGCCGUAAACGAUGCUCGCUAGGUGUCAGGCAUGGCGCGACCGUGUCUGGUGCCGCAGGGAAGCCGUGAAGCGAGCCACCUGGGAAGUACGGCCGCAAGGCUGAAACUUAA
rnacentral:rRNA from 1 species